rnacentral:rRNA from 1 species
UAAGACGUAGGGUGCGAGCGUUGUCCGGAGUUACUGGGCGUAAAGGGCGCGUAGGCGGCGGCCCGCGUCGCACGUGAAAGCCCCCGGCUCAACCGGGGAGGGUCGUGCGAGACGGGGCAGCUGGAGGCAGGGAGAGGCGGGUGGAAUUCCCGGAGUAGUGGUGAAAUGCGUAGAUACCGGGAGGAACACCAGUGGCGAAGGCGGCCCGCUGGCCCUGACCUGACGCUGAGGCGCGAAGGCGCGGGGAGCGAACGGG